rnacentral:rRNA from 1 species
AAACGAGAGAGGUCAGUUCGGCUGGAUCGGUGACAGGUGCUGCAUGGCUGUCGUCAGCUCGUGUCGUGAGAUGUUGGGUUAAGUCCCGCAACGAGCGCAACCCUCGUCCUUAGUUGCCAGCAUAAGUUGGGCGCUCUAAAGGGACUGCCGGUGUUAAACCGGAGGAAGGUGAGGAUGACGUCAAGUCCUCAUGGCCUUUAUGACCAGGGCUACACACGUACUACAAUGGCCGAUACAAAGGGCAGCGACACUGCGAGGUGAAGCCAAUCCCGUAAAAUCGGUCUCAGUCCGGAUUGGAGUCUGCAACUCGACUCCAUGAAGUUGGAAUCGCUAGUAAUCGUGGAUCAGCAUGCCACGGUGAAUACGUUCCCGGGCCUU